CGGUUGUGAAGCUUAAUUUGC
rnacentral:siRNA from 1 species